ensembl:snoRNA SNORD24 Small nucleolar RNA SNORD24
UGCAUAUGAUGUGAAAGAAUAUUUGCUAUCAGAACAGUAUAUGGUGACAUUUCCCACCAAGAUCACUGAUGCA